rnacentral:rRNA from 1 species
GACGAACGCUGGCGGCGUGCUUAACACAUGCAAGUCGAACGGAAAGGCCCUGCUUUUGUGGGGUGCUCGAGUGGCGAACGGGUGAGUAACACGUGAGUAACCUGCCCUUGACUUUGGGAUAACUUCAGGAAACUGGGGCUAAUACCGGAUAGGAGCUCCUGCUGCAUGGUGGGGGUUGGAAAGUUUCGGCGGUUGGGGAUGGACUCGCGGCUUAUCAGCUUGUUGGUGGGGUAGUGGCUUACCAAGGCUUUGACGGGUAGCCGGCCUGGGAGGGUGCCCGGCCACAGUGAGCCUCAGAUACGACACAGACUCCUACGGGAGGCAGGAGAGAGGAACAUUGAGCAAUGGGCGGAAGACAGAAGCAGCAACGCCGCGCGCGGGAUGACGGCCUUCGGGUUAUAACCCGCUUUCGCCUGUGAGGAAGCGUGAGUGACGGUAAUGGGUACAGAAGCACCGGAUAACUACGUG